CAACCUGAGAGUUUGAUCCUGGCUCAGAGCGAACGCUGGCGGCAGGCCUAACACAUGCAAGUCGAACGGACCCUU
rnacentral:rRNA from 1 species